CCAAAGGCCCUUCUUAGGGCCAACCACGUACUCCACAAAGAGUUGG
rnacentral:ncRNA from 1 species